rnacentral:rRNA from 1 species
GACGAACGCUGGCGGCGUGCUUAACACAUGCAAGUCGAACGGGCCUGUCUUCUUUUUUGGGGGUGGGUUGAGUGGCGAACGGGUGAGUAUCACGUGAGUAACCUGCCCUUCGGUCCUGGAUAACCGCUUGAAAGGGCGGCUAAUACGGGGUGGUCCGGUUGGUCCGCAGGGGCGGUUGGGGAGGGUUUCCCGUUUUUGGUGGUUUCGCGGGGGAUUGGGGUGGGGGCCUAUCAGCUGGUUGGGGGGGUGUUGGCCUGCAAAGGGGGUGACGGGUAGCCGGCCGGAGAGUGUGGGCGGCGAGACGGGGACUGGGAUACGGGCCAGAGUGCUGCGGGAGGCAGCAGUGGGGGGUAUAGCACAAUGGGCGGAAGCCUGAUGGAGCGACGUCGCGUGAGGGAUGGAGGCGUUCGGGUUGUGAACCUCUGUUUCCGGUGGUGAAGGCCCUGUCGGUGUGGUGGGGUUGACGGUAGCGGGGGAUGAAGCGCCGGCUAACUACGUG